AAAAUAAGAUAAUAAAUACUUGAAAUAAUUCUUACAUUUAUAUAUGAGUUCCACACCGCAUCUUCAGCAACAACAAGCUGCCUAUACUCAUCCUAACCAAAACUGCUAUUAUUUUUUCCACUAAGCAUGUCAUAAAUGAUUGACCAAUCCCUUUUCAAUGUUCUAAUCCUUGAUUCAAGAUUAAGUUUAGCCUUCAACAUGGCAUUGGGUAAAACUUUUUCUAACAUUUUUUCUAUUUCAUUUAAAUAAUAGGCUUUGAAUCCCGUAUCAACAUUGAAGGUUCCAACAUUGUGCAAGUCGACCAUACAGGCAACCAACGCAGCAUCUUCUUCUGGAACCUAUUUCCUUUUGGUUCCUUGAGAAUUUUGGGAAGAAAC
rnacentral:lncRNA from 1 species